GCUACACAUGCAAGUCGAACGGUGUCUUCGGACACAGUGGCGGACGGGUGAGUAACGCGUGAGAAUCUGCCAUCAGGUCUGGGACAACCACUGGAAACGGUGGCUAAUACCGGAUGUGCCGAGAGGUGAAAGGUUAACUGCCUGUUGAUGAGCUCGCGUCUGAUUAGCUAGUUGGCAGUGUAAUGGACUACCAAGGCGACGAUCAGUAGCUGGUCUGAGAGGAUGAUCAGCCACACUGGGACUGAGACACGGCCCAGACUCCUACGGGAGGCAGCAGUGGGGAAUUUUCCGCAAUGGGCGAAAGCCUGACGGAGCAAUACCGCGUGAGGGAGGAAGGCUCUUGGGUCGUAAACCUCUUUUCUCAGGGAAGAACAAAAUGACGGUACCUGAGGAAUAAGCAUCGGCUAACUCCGUGCCAGCAGCCGCGGUAAUACGGAGGAUGCAAGCGUUAUCCGGAAUGAUUGGGCGUAAAGCGUCCGCAGGUGGCUAUGUAAGUCUGCUGUUAAAGCGUCUAGCUCAACUAGAUAAGAGCAGUGGAAACUACAAGGCUAGAGUGCGUUCGGGGCAGAGGGAAUUCCUGGUGUAGCGGUGAAAUGCGUAGAGAUCAGGAAGAACACCGGUGGCGAAGGCGCUCUGCUAGGCCGCAACUGACACUGAGGGACGAAAGCUAGGGGAGCGAAUGGGAUUAGAUACCCCAGUAGUCCUAGCCGUAAACGAUGGAUACUAGGCGUGGCUUGUAUCGACCCGAGCCGUGCCGUAGCUAACGCGUUAAGUAUCCCGCCUGGGGAGUACGCACGCAAGUGUGAACUCAAAGGAAUUGACGGGGCCCGCACAAGCGGUGGAGUAUGUGUUAUCGAUGCACGCGAGACCUACAGACUGGACAUGUCAGAUCUCUGAA
rnacentral:rRNA from 1 species